rnacentral:rRNA from 1 species
CCAGACUCCUACGGGAGGCAGCAGUGGGGGAUAUUGCACAAUGGGGGAAACCCUGAUGCAGCGACGCCGCGUGGGUGAAGGAGCACCUCGGUGCGUAAAGCCCUAUCGGCAGGGAAGAAACAGACGGUACCUGACUAAGAAGCCCCGGCUAACUACGUGCCAGCAGCCGCGGUAAUACGUAGGGGGCAAGCGUUAUCCGGAUUCACUGGGUGUAAAGGGAGCGUAGACGGCCAUGCAAGCCUGGAGUGAAAGCCCGGGGCCCAACCCCGGGACUGCUCUGGGAACUGUGCGGCUGGAGUGCGGGAGGGGCAGGCGGAAUUCCUGGUGUAGCGGUGAAAUGCGUAGAUAUCAGGAGGAACACCGGCGGCGAAGGCGGCCUGCUGGACCGCGACUGACGUUGAGGCUCGAAAGCGUGGGGAGCAAACAGGAUUAGAUACCCCUGUAG